rnacentral:rRNA from 1 species
CCUACGGGAGGCAGCAGUAGGGAAUCUUUCACAAUGGGCGAAAGCCUGAUGGAGCAACGCCGCGUGCGGGAUGAAGGCCUUCGGGUUGUAAACUGCUUUUAUAAGCGAGAAAUAUGAGGGUAACUUAUGAAUAAGGAUCGGCUAACUACGUGCCAGCAGCCGCGGUCAUACGUAGGACCCGAGCAUUAUCCGGAGUGUAUGGGUUUAAAGAGUUGCGUAGGUGGCAUAAUAAGUAGCUAGUGGAAUCUGGUGGCUCAACCAUUCAGACUAUUUGGUAAACUGUUAAGCUCGAGAGCGUUAGGGGUAACUGGAAUUUCUAGUGUAGGAGUGAAAUCCGUAGAUAUUAGAAGGAACACCAAUAGCGUAGGCAAGUUACUGGGACGGUUCUGACACUAAGGCACGAAAGCGUAGGGAGCAAACGGGAUUAGAUACCCUUGUAGUC